GAUGAACGCUGGCGGCGUGCUUAACACAUGCAAGUCGAACGGAAAGGCCAGUGCUUGCACUGGUACUCGAGUGGCGAACGGGUGAGUAACACGUGGGUGAUCUGCCCUGCACUUCGGGAUAAGCCUGGGAAACUGGGUCUAAUACCGGAUAGGACAAUGGUUUGGAUGCCGUUGUGGAAAGUUUUUUCGGUGUGGGAUGAGCUCGCGGCCUAUCAGCUUGUUGGUGGGGUAAUGGCCUACCAAGGCGUCGACGGGUAGCCGGCCUGAGAGGGUGUACGGCCACAUUGGGACUGAGAUACGGCCCAGACUCCUACGGGAGGCAGCAGUGGGGAAUAUUGCACAAUGGGCGCAAGCCCGAUGCAGCGACGCCGCGUGGGGGAUGACGGCCUUCGGGUUGUAAACUCCUUUCGCUAGGGACGAAGCGUAUUUGUGACGGUACCUGGAGAAGAAGCACCGGCUAACUACGUG
rnacentral:rRNA from 1 species